UUGAGGACUACGUCUGGGCACAGGGCCGC
rnacentral:sRNA from 1 species